GACGAACGCUGGCGGCGCGCCUAACACAUGCAAGUCGAACGAGAGAUGAAGAGCUUGCUCUUCAAAUCGAGUGGCGAACGGGUGAGUAACGCGUGAGGAACCUGCCUCAAAGAGGGGGACAACAGUUGGAAACGACUGCUAAUACCGCAUAAGCCCACGGCUCGGCAUCGAGCAGAGGGAAAAGGAGCAAUCCGCUUUGAGAUGGCCUCGCGUCCGAUUAGCUAGUUGGUGGGUAAAGGCCUACCAAGGCAACGAUGCGUAGCCGACCUGAGAGGGUGAUCGGCCACACUGGGACUGAGACACGGCCCAGACUCCUACGGGAGACAGCAGUUAGGAAUAUUCGUCAAUGGGGGAAACCCUGAACGAGCAAUGCCGCGUGAAGGAGACGGUCCUCUGGAUUGUAAACUUCUGUUGUUAGGGAAGAAC
rnacentral:rRNA from 1 species